ensembl:snRNA U1 U1 spliceosomal RNA
AAACUUAUGGCAACUGGAAACAUAAAAAUUCCAGUGGGUUCCAGGUGGUUUUCCCGGGCAGCACUUACUCACUGCACUCCAGGCGUGCUGACCUCUGUGGUUGCCCCAGCGUGGGAACUUCAACUGCAUCACUGGUGGUAGUGGGGGACCGCAUUGGUGCUUUCCCCUA